rnacentral:rRNA from 1 species
UACGAAGGGGGGCUAGCGUUGCUCGGAAUCACUGGGCGUAAAGGGUGCGUAGGCGGGUCUUUAAGUCAGGGGUGAAAUCCUGGAGCUCAACUCCAGAACUGCCUUUGAUACUGAAGAUCUUGAGUUCGGGAGAGGUGAGUGGAACUGCGAGUGUAGAGGUGAAAUUCGUAGAUAUUCGCAAGAACACCAGUGGCGAAGGCGGCUCACUGGCCCGAUACUGACGCUGAGGCGCGAAAGCGUGGGGAGCAAACAGG